UACAGAGGAGCCAAGCGUUGUCCGGAUUGACUGGGCGUAAAGCGCACGCAGGCGGCACCGCGCGUGGGGUGUGAAAUCUGGCCGCUUAACGGCCAGGCGCCAUCCCAUACGGCGGAGCUGGAGUGAUGCAGAGGUCGAUGAAAUUUCCGGUGGAGCGGUGAAAUGCGUUGAUAUCGGAAGGAACUCCGGCGGCGAAAGCGAUGCACUGGCUGGUUUCUGACGCUGAGGUGCGAAAGCCAGGGGAGCAAACGGG
rnacentral:rRNA from 1 species